CACAACUCAUGUGGCCAUUUACAUUGCGACUAGGGUCAGAAAACCCCUCGACAAGGCCACAAGAAACAAGCUGAGGGCGGAAUGCCCACGCCCCACUGUCCCAGACAUGGCCUGCAUGACCCCUGAGGUGGACCCCAAGGUCGCUCAGUUUCUGGGUAAGUCAGGAUGGAGGGCCAAGAAGGGUUUGGACUACUCCUUAAAGCACUGCCAAGACAAGAUCCUGGACAUACUCGGGCCUAUAGCUAAAAUCUUCGAUAUGGUCGAAGCGGCCCUUACUGGGGGGACCUCAAUUGACUUAAUGGCCAUCAGAGGAUGGAUUCAGAGAGGC